rnacentral:rRNA from 1 species
UACGUAGGGUGCAAGCGUUAAUCGGAAUUACUGGGCGUAAAGCGUGCGCAGGCGGUUUUGUAAGUCUGUCGUGAAAGCCCCGGGCUCAACCUGGGAAUUGCGAUGGAGACUGCAAGGCUUGAAUCUGGCAGAGGGGGGGUAGAAUUCCACGUGUAGCAGUGAAAUGCGUAGAGAUGUGGAGGAACACCGAUGGCGAAGGCACCUUCUGGGCCAACACUGACGCUCAUGCACGAAGGCGUGGGGAGCAAACAGG